CCAGUAUUCACUGCCUUCAGAAUCUGGCAUAAGGAAACUGCAUACAGCACUAUGAAAUUACUGUAGUAAUGUGAGCAUGUGCUCUGACACCAGAUACCUAAAGUAGAAUCCUGGCUUCACACUAGUUGCCUCACCUACAGCAAGUUGCCUAAACUCUUUAUGGCUCUGUUUUCUCAGAAGGGUUUAGAGGGAGAAGGUGAUUCUGAUAUAGAAAUAGAACUAUGAGGGGGAUGGUUUUUCUACAAGCUUCCCAAGAUGAUUCUGAUAUGGCCCGUCCAUUUGUUACCAGCUGCCUUGGAGAACUAAAUACCAAAUCCUCCACCGGGAGCAGCGACAAAUGGGAGACAGCGUGCAGCAAAGAAUGAGAUCACGGAGCCUGGUUAUGUGGACUCCAUUCUGAAGCCCGUUUACUGUGUGGAGUGAACACAGUUCAUGCCUGGUCUGUUAUUCCACCAGCCAGGUAAAACAAAGAAUAUCUCUCCCUCUGUUUUUCUGUCUCUGCCUCUCUUUCAUACACACACAUCCCUAAAACUGUAUUCUAACUUCUUAAAAAAGGGACAUUUGCCAGUCUUUUAAAAUAAGCCAACUCCCUUUUUUUCAGUAUGAGACUUAAAAUUUCCAGUUUUUCUUUAGAGUCGAACACAAAUUUUAAAACACUUUUGAAGUAAUUUGGGAGCAGAAUCCUAGAUUUUCAAUUUUCCACUGUUGCAUGGUUGAUUCAUCCAUAAUUUGACAAUUUUUAGUAAGUUGCCUUUACUGAGAGCAUUCAUGUAGGUUUUCAAAAAAUUGAUUCCCUGUCUUUUCACAUUUAUAAUUCAUUGGUUUACUUAUUAUUUUAAAAUUUAAGGAUUUAUUGUUAUUAACCCCUUAAUUUCUAAACUCUGAUUACAGAAUUUAGUGACAGGCUUCAAGAGGUCUCUGAAAGCUGAAUUUUUAGUAUAUGUGGUUAUUUUUCUUCAGAGGGUCCAUAGGCUUCAUCAGAUUCUCAAAUGUAUUUUUUUAAUUGAAGUACAAUGUUAUUUUAAUUACUGCUGUACAGCAAAGUCAGUUGUGUGUGUGUAUAUAUAUAUAUAUAUACACACACACACACACACACAUACACAUUCUUUUUUUAUAUUCUUUCCCAUUAUGGUUUAUCAUAGGAUAUUGAAUAUAAUUCCCUGUGCUAGACAGUAGGACCUUGUUGUUUAUCCAUUCUGUAUGUAAUAGUUUGCAUCUGCUAAUCCCAAACUCCCACUCCAUCCCUCCCCCAACCCCCUCCCCCUCAGCAACCACCACUCUGUUCUCUAUGUCUGUGAUUCUGUUUCUGUUUCAUAGACAGGUUCAUUUGUGUCAUAUUUUAGAUUCCAUAUGUGAUAUCAUACAUUUGUCUUUCUCUUUCUGACUUACUUCACUUAGCAUGAUAAUCUCUAGUUGCAUCGGCUUACCAAAUAUUAAAUGAUGUCAUUACAAUAGGUACAACUUGAAUCCACAGGUUUGGGGACAGGUUCUGUAAAUGCAACUCAACUGGGGAGAAUGAAGCAGAUGAGUACAGGGUACUGGGCCAGAGCCCCCCAGUCUCAGUGCUCAGCGUGCUUUACAGGCAGAAGUCAGUACAUUUUACAGAUAGAAUGGAGGGUGCUGUUAAAUGGAAAUUGGAGGGCAGAAUGUCAGUAGACGUUCAUUGCCAACUAACUUUCAGAGAAAAAUCACAUUUGCAGGUCUUAGUUUUGCCAGCAGGUGGCAGAUGCGGCUCAUGAGCUGGUUUGGGGCAAGGACUUGGCCAGAAGCUGAGCUUUGCCACUAUUAAUGGCUAAGAGAAGACAGCCUCCCUUUCAUCAUGUGAAACCCCUUUGGUCUUUUCUGCUCUUUUGAUAGCCUGGCAGCAUUUUCUCUCUAGGUCAAAGUCGGCAGAAUUUCAGGGCUGUGGUGAGGGAACUCAGGACCAUAAAAUACACUGGGGUUCCCACCAAUCUCCUCCUAGCCUCAGUUUCUCCUCUGAAUGGGGAGCAUGCAGCUAAUUCCUUUGUUACUGAGUUGUUGUGAGGAAUCAGUCACUUCGUAUUAUUUUCUUUCUCCUUGAACAGAGGAAGGCAAUAUUUCACCUUCUGGGAAAGCUAGUCACCCAGCAUCCAGUGCUGUGAUGGCACUGGUCCUGGGAGCAGAUGCAGGUAGUGCUCUCCACUCGUCCCACCCCUCAGAGCUCUGCAAGAGAACUCGGACUGCUGAUGCUGCUGAAGGCCCUCGGCAGCCACUUGUCCUCUUGGCUGGUGAGGCCAAAAGUGACCCAGCAGCAGACCAGUCAUUGGCCUGCCUCACCACUGUUAGAGUUACUAGUUGGCCUGGGCCUGUAGGCUUGCACCUUAGAGUGCAGAGCCAGCACUUCUGGGAGCACUGAGACCCUGGCAUUUAGAGGAUUGCUAUCACAUGAUAGUUUAUACCUGACUCGAGGUAGGUGGGUGGUUGGGCCUGAAUGACUUCUCCAGAGACGAUAGUCGGAAAUUGGGGCACUCUGUUGACCCCACUCUGCUCAAAACCACUGCAGUUUACGGCUGGGGGUAGUGAGGGGUGAUAGGUAAGGACACCGUGAGCAGGAGCAAGUGAUGCUGGUGCUAGCACUGCCUGUGCCCCAGAGGCCAGUCCUCUCUGCUUAGAGGUGGCUUCUUUGGUGCCCCUGAAGGCCCAUCCUGUGGAGCUCUGGCCCAGGCCUGGGCUGUGUGUGGCAGCAGCCACGGAAAGGUUUUCUUGAAGGAUUUACCCCCGUGGAGCCUUGAAGUCUGAGGAUGAACUGGAGGACGAAGGUAAACAGGCAGGGAAGGGAGAGGGGUUAGCACCAGCUCGAGGGGAAUUUGCAAGGGAGAUGGGCACUGUCUGAGGCGUCUGUACCUGGAGGACAGAGAACAGGCACUACCUAUCACCUUGGCUCACCUUUCCUUUAGAGGCACACCUUGUCACCCUGCACACUCCCGGGGUGCAGAAGCAGGGAGUGCAGCACCCUUGCUGAGCUCUGACUCACAGGCUCUGGCUUUGGAGCAGAGCUAGAGUCAAGGGAAGGAAAGCAGGUUACAGGGGAAGGCCUGAGAGGAAUUCCAGGACAGACACAAGCUGCAGAGGCCCAGGUGGCUCAGAGAGGGAGCAAGCAGUGAGGUAAGCCAUCCUGCCCAGAGCACAGAAGAUGGAGCUGAGAGCACAGACAUGUGGCUAAGUCCAGCUUCAAUGACCAUGGCAACAGCUCCUCUGGGACCUUUGCACCCCACUUCUGAAGGCCCCACGCCAUUCCACCCAUGGGACACCUUGAGGACUCCCAACCCUGCGAGAAACAGGAGAGGUCAGUUGGUACCCUCACUUUGCAUGCCCAUGAAGGAGUCAGGCAUCCAGGCAUCAUGCUUUCAGGGCAGAUUUAAUAAAGAAUGCAAAAAGGUCCUGGUGAGCUACUCAGAUCCCAGGUGCCACCUGUUUUGGCAGCUACGGGACUGUCCCCCCUGACACCUGCCAUACCCUACUCAGUCAGAGCAGCAUCCAGCUCCAGAGCAGGGCUCGGGCUCCCGACAGGGGGUGUCAGGACUGCUCUCUCCAGCUGGCACCAGACCUCCUGGCACCACUGAGGCCCAGGGCCAAGCUGCAGAGGCUCUGGUUCCUCCCGAGGCAAGCUGAGCAGCAGCACAGAACUCUCCCCACUCCUUUACUUUGGUGCUCUGGCACCUUUUGCCCCAGCAGUCAGGCUUCCCAGGGUUGAAAAAAACUCCUCCAUUUCCUUCUGCAGCAGCUGGUUCCUCUUCUCUGCGUCCUCCCGUGCCCGCUCCGAGUUCCUCAGCUUUAUUUCCAGCAUUGUGUACUUUUUCUUUUCCUGGUCUAGUUGUUCUUCUAGCUGUAACAUUCGUUUCCUCAGGUCGGCACUACCUUCUUCGAGUCUUAAAAUUCAAGAAGAAAGACAUCAUUUUAGACUUGGGCCUGCUGGGUUUGCCAAGAAAACUCCAUUGUCAGCAGACACUUGAUGGGGCGAAGGAGCUGACGACCCACUCCUGUGAGACAUGAGGGACUUGCUGCGCCUGGCUCCUAGGAACUGACCUGACUACAAGACACAUGACUGUGGGCAGGACUCAAACUUCACUGAGCCCUGGUGUCUCACCCUGAAAAUGCAGGGGACGGCCUUCCACCUAUGCACUGUAGCUACGAUGGACCAAGGAGACCACGUGUGCACAGCAUACCACCUGGCACAUGGUGUACCUGAAGCAAAUAUCCAUUCCCUGCCCCAUCCAGGAUGAGGCCUGGGCCUUCACCCUCAACCACUGAACACAGAGCAUGGAGAAGGGCUAAAGUCUGGAAGAAGAGAAGGAUGCCCACUUUCACUACUUCGAUAUAGUACUGCAAGUCCUAGACACAGCAAUCAGCCAAGGAAAAGAAAUAAAAGGUAUUCAAAUUGGUAGAGAGGAGGUAAAGUUAUUAUUUGCAGAUGACAUGAUACUAUAUAUAGAAAACCCUAGGGCCUCCCUAGUGGCGCAGUGGUUGAGAGUCCGCCUGCCGAUGCAGAGGACACAGGUUCAUGCCCCGGUCCGGGAAAAUCCCACAUGCCGCAGAGCGGCUGGGCCUGUGAGCCAUGGCCGCUGAGCCUGCGUGUCCAGAGCCUGUGCUCCGCAACGGGAGAGGCCACAACAGUGAGAGGCUCGCGUACUGCAAAAAGAAAAAAAAAAAAAAAACCCUAAAGACUCCACACAAAAACUACUAGAACUGAUAAACGAAUUCAGCAAGGUAGCAGGAUACAAGAUUAACAUAUAGAAAUUGGUUGCAUUUCUUUAUACUAACAAUGAAACAAACAAUCCCCUUUAAAAUUGCAUCCAAAAAAACAAAACAAAAAACCUUACGAAUAAAUCUCACCAAGGCGGUGAAAGACUUAUAUGCUGAGAACUACAAAACAUUAAUAAUAAAGGAAAUUGAAGGUGAUUCAAAGAAAUGGAAGGAUAUCCCAUGCUCUUGGAUUGGAAGAAUAUUGUUAAAAUGGUCAUACUACCCAAAGCAAUCUACAGAUUUGAUGCAAUCCCUGUCAAAUUACCCAUGACAUUUUUCACAGAACUAGAACAAAUAAUCCUAAAAUUUAUAUGGAACUGUGAAAGGCCCAGAAUUGCCAAAGCAAUCCUGAGGAAAAAAAACAAAGCAGGAGGCAUAGCACUCCCAGACUUAAGGCAAUAUUACAAAGCUAGAGUAAUCAAAAUAGCAUGGUAUUGGCACAAAAACAGACAUAUGAAUCAAUGGAACAGAAUAAAGAGCCCGGAAGUAAACCCACACACCUAUGGUCAAAUAACCCUCGACAGAGGAGGCAAGAAUAUACGAUGGGGAAAAGACAGUUUCUUUAGCAAGUGGUGUUGGGAAAGUUGGACAGCCUCAUGCAAAUCAGUGAAGUUAGAACACACUCUCACACUAUACACAAAAAUAAACUCAAAAUGGAUUAAAGACCUAAGACGUGACACCAUAAAUAAAACUCCUAGAAGAGAACAUAGGCAAAACGUUCUCUGACAUAAGUCAUGACAAUGUUUUCUUAGGUCAGUCUCCCAGGCAACAGAAAUAAAAGCAAAAAUAAACAAAUGCGACCUAAUCAAACUUAUAAGCUUUUGCACAGCAAAGGGAACCACAAACAAAACGGAAAGACAACCUAUGGAAUGGGAGAAAAUACUUGCAAAUGAUGAGACCGACAAGGGCUUAAUUUCCAAAACAGCUCAUACAAUUCAGUAACAACAAAGCAAACAACCCAGUUGAAAAAUGGGCAGAAGACCUAAAUAGACAUUUCUCCAAAGACGACAUACAGAUGGCCAAUAGGCACAUGAAAAGAUAAUCAUCACUAAUUCUUAGAAAUGCAAAUCAAAAGUACAAUGAGGUAGCACCUCACACUGGUCAGAAUGGCCAUCACUAAAAAGUCUAAAAAUAACAUGUUGAAGAGGGUGUGGAGAAAAGGGAACCCUCUAACACUGUUGGUGGGAAUGUUAAGUUGGUGCAGCCACCAUGGAGAACAGUAUGGAGGUUCCUCAAAAAACUAAAAAUAGAGUUGCCAUAUGAUCCAGCAAUCCCACUCCUGGGCAUAUAGCCAGACAAAACUCUAAUUCAAAAAGAUACAUGUACCCCUAUGUUCAUAGCAGCACUAUUUACAAUAGCCAAGACAUGGAAACAACCUAAAUGUCCAUCAACAGAUGAAUGAAUAAAGAAGAUGUGGUACAUACAUACAAUGGAAUAUUACUCAGCCAUAAAAAAGAAUGAAAUCAUGCUAUUUGCAGCAAUAUGGAUGGACCUAGAGAUUAUCAUACUAAGUGAAGCAAAUCAGAGAAAGAAAAAUAUCAUAUGAUAUCACUUAUAUGUGGAAUCUAAAAUAUGACACAAAUGAACUUAUCUAUGAAACAGACUCAUAGACAGAGAACGGACUUGUGGUUGCCAAGGGGGAGGGGUGGCAGUGGGGAGAGGGAUGGAUUCGGAGUUCAGGAUUAGCAGAUGCAAACUAUUAUAUAUAUAGGAUGGGUAGACAACGAGGUUCUAUUGUAUAGCACAGGGAACUAUAGUCAAUAUCCUGGGAUAAACCAUAAUGGAAAAUAAUAUGAAAAAGAAUAUAUGUAUAACUGAAUCACUUUGCUGUACAGAAGAGAUUAGCACAAUGUUGUAAACUAACUAUACUUCAAUUAAAAAAAAAAAAGCAUGGAGAAGGGAGAAAGCCUUCCUUCACCCCAUCCUCCCAUCUGGAGAGCACAGUGCAUAAUGUCAGAAGACCCUCCCCAAGGCAGGGGCAGCAGGCCCCCCAUGAGCCCCCUUCACUGCUUCUCCUCCCGUCCAGGGCCCUCCUUUGCCAGGUCCUCCCUGCCCCUUGGUGCUCCUGAGCACAGCCUCCACACCACUCCUUGAGGGACCUUGUCCAGCCUCAGACUUGAAGCACUUAGAGCACUCAGUGUGCUGACAACCCUCAAUCUUUAUCUCCCUCAAGUCCACUCAGAAACUUAAUAAGUAUCUCCAGCCUAACAGACCCACAGCUGAGCUCCUGCCCUCUUUCCCCAAGUCACGCUCCUAUAGCCCCAGUCUCCCCGGCUCAGUGACCACCUUCUUCCAGAUACUCGGCCAAAACAAAAAUGGUGUGUCUCAAGUCAGUUCUUUUUCUCACCACCACACCUGAUCACCUGGAAAAACCCAAACACAUUCAGAAUCUGGCUGCUUCUCCCACCUUGUCUGCUGCCCCGUAGGUCCGUGCCAGCCACAGGUCUGACCUGGAUGGCCAUGGCCUCCUAACUGGUCUUUGUCUGCCUCGUCAAGCGCUCCUGAGCACAGCAGUCAGUGCACCUCAUCAAAGUGACCCAAGUCCUCCAGGUCUUCCAGCAGCUUCACAUCUCACUGGCAAUAAAGUCAAAGCAUCACUCCUGCCAAAACGCCUUGCCGCCUGCCCCACCCCGACUCCGCCACGCUUUCAGAGCUUGCCCACACUCUGCCAGUACACAGUGGGGCAGGAACUCGAACCCAUAGCCUGCCAGGCAACAAUACUGCAUUUCCCCUGAGAACCCCAGCCUCCAAGGUGAAAGAUCUAGAAGCUCAAGUCAGCUCCACGAACAGCCGAGAAAGUGAGAUGUUGAUUCUGACCCCCUCUGAGGCUGCCCUCAGACAGUGUCUGCCGAGUAACCCUUCCUGUACACUCUGAGCUCAUCUUCAGCAGUAAUCACCUUCCGGUGAAUCUGCAGGGAGCUCCUGGUAUUUAUUACCUCUGCCUGGUAAAUUCCAACCCAGUGCUUACAUUGUGGGUUUUCUCCACAAUUUUAAACUCCGGAGUUUUACUCACACUGUGUCCUUUCUCCUCCUUGCUCAGCUCAGUCCUAUCGGUCCUUCAAGUCCUGGCUCUGACAUUGCCUGCUGUGACUUCCCCCAUGGAGGGGCUGCUGCCCUCACGGCCCCUUUCCUGCCAUCUUCCUGCCGUGAACACAGAGACUGCACACACCUGACACUCCCCAGGUGCCCAGGAGACAGCUGCCAGCAGAACAAGAGGGUCAAAUGCUACCAUUCAAGCUCCCUGUGGGAAUCCCAGGCUCAGAAAUAGAAGCAUGAAUCCCUUCCACCUCCACUGUCUGAUGGAAAGAGGAAGCACUCAGAACUCAAUGAAGCCCCCUGCUAGUGGGUGGGACAUGGGUUCAUAGGUCUGAUGCGUGCAAGGCCUUGGGCAAAAGGAGCUAAGGGGUCUGAGAUACUGAUGGAAGCACCGCUCACUGUCCAGGGUAGGCUUUGCUGGUGAUUUUAAUUGGGGAACUCGGCCUCAGAGCUGGAAAAUGCCCUCUGCACAGGGAGGCUGGAACCAGGGCCCAUCAGUGAACAAGCCUGCAAGCCUUAAAGGGUGGCACGAAGGACUUCCCUGGUGGCACAGUGAUUAAGAAUCCGCCUGCUAAUGGAGGGGACACGGGUUCGAGCCCUGGUCUGGGAAGAUCCCACAUGCCGCGGAGCAACUAAUCCCAUGUGCCACAACUACUGGGCCUGCGCUCUAGAGCCGGCGAAGCCACAACUACUGAAGCCUGUGCACCUAGAGCCUGUGCUCCGCAACAAAAGAAGCCACCACAAUGAGAAGCCUGCGGACCACAAUGAAGAGUAGCCCCUGCUCACGGCAACUAGAGAAAGCCUGUGGGUAGCAUCGAAGACCCAACACAGACAAAAAUAAAUAAAUAAAUUUAUAUAUUUUUAAAAAAGGUGGCACGAGGUGUCCUCUGUGACCCAGCGGAAGGGAGGGCUUGGCUCGACAAGGCCAGCUCCCUCCUCAGAGAAAAUCGGAUUUCGAUCCAGAAGAAGUCCUCACUCUACAUCAGGUCCAACCAUGGGCAGUCAACCAGGCUGGCCUGGGGCCUGCAGUGCACGCGUGCCCUGCCCCAGUCCCAGUGCUACAGGACAUACCUUGGGGGCCUGCC